UGGGGUUCAUUAUAAUCUUAAAAAUAAUAAUAAGAUACAGCAUGAAAUAUUAAUUAAGGACUUGCACCAUAAUUCAAAUGAUCCAAAACCUUAGACACCCAACAAUUGGAGUCCAAUGAAUCUAAUUCAUUUAGAUUAUUAGCAAGUAAUUAAGUUUAAAUUAUCUUAUCAAAUAAAAAAUCCAAACAGAAAGAGAAAAUUGGGUCCAACUAUGUGCUAGCGAGAUUAUCUUGAUCCCAAUCGGAUUUCUCUAAACCCA
rnacentral:lncRNA from 1 species